rnacentral:misc_RNA from 1 species
CUUCCAGAGUCGGAAAGGAGUGGUGAAAGAACUGUCAUAGCUUUGUUUCUUUCUUUUUCCCAUCGGCUGCUUGAUUUUUAUCGGCGGUGCUGCUCUUUUUAAAUAGUCUUUCUAUCGCUUGCACCAGAACAAUAGUGUUGUUGUGCAUCAAAAGGCCUGUUAAAUCCAGGCAAUCAAGUCAAGGCCUUUUCAGAAUCUUCAAUGCCGCCGAAAGAACUGAAUCCGCUGCUUUCACCUGAGCAGAAGAGGGCGGCGAGCCAGAGCUACCCCCCGGUUCCAAAGAAAUGCGUGGUAACUGGGGGAACGGGGUUCGUGGGAACUCGUUUGGUGGAGAUGCUAGUCGAACGAGGCGCCGAGAAGGUAGUGUGCUUUGAUAUAGUUCCAAAAGAAAAGGCUAUUGGUGUCUGGGACCACCCGGCGAUCGAAUACGUUGUUGGGGAUAUUACGUCCUACUCUGAUGUUUCGGCAGCCAUAGAGGGGAGUGACUGCGUUUGGCACCUUGCAGCUGCUGUGGGGCCUUUUCACCCACACGACUUGUACAGGCGUGUCAAUUAUGGGGGCACGGUGAACGUGAUCCGCGCCUGCAAGGAGCACGGUGUGAAGAAGAUGAUUUUCAGCUCAUCGCCUUCGACUCGGUUCAACGGUAGUCUCUUCCACCGCCCCAACGUCGACGGGCUUACCGAGGAUGAAAUGCCGAAACUGCCGCUUGAGCGUUACAUGCAAAUGUAUGCACAGACAAAGGCGGAGGGCGAAAUGGCGAUGCGGGAGUCCAUCGACGACGACUUCUGGUCUAUUGCGGUCGCUCCGCAUCAGGUGUAUGGCCCACGCGACAACCUGUUUUUGCCCAACAUGCUGGAGGCUGCGGGUACAGGUAAGCUGCGCGUCUUCGGCAAAGGCGACAACCGCAUCUGCUUCACCCACGUGGACAACUACUGUCAUGGCCUCAUCAUUGCGGAGAAGCAGUUGUACAAGAAUUCGCCGUACCUUGGGCGGUUCUACAUUGUGACCGAUGCUGACACGCAUCCUGAGCCGGCGGCGUACUGCAUUUUCUGGAAGGAGCUCGAUAAGGCUAUCGUGAGGAUGGGGUUUGGAUCCAUCAUGAACAAAGUUCACUACCCGUUCUGGUUCCUCUAUAUUGCAGCGCUUUUCGCGGAACUGGCAGGGUGGGUGAUGGGGACAACGUUCAAGCUCAACGUCUUCAACGUCUUUGUUCUCACGAUGAAUCGCUGGUUUCGGGUCGACGCGGCCAAGCACGAUCUCGAGUUUCAACCCAUCAUUCCUUUUGGGGAUGGCUGGAACGAUACGAUCGAAUGGUUCCAGCUGAAUUGGUUGCCUAAGUUCAAGAAGCAGGAUCACAGCUCUAUAGCCGGCAUUUCUUCCGGAUCGCAGCAGAAGAUCAACAUCCAGGCCCGCAAGGACAAGUAACAAACCGAAAAAGCAACAAAAAAUGUUGAUGCAACGCCACUUUCCGGCUCCUAUCUCUUUGUUUUUGCCUGUGUGUGCGUGCGUGUGCGUACCACAAGCUCCCGUUUUAUUGGAAAGCUCCGGCUCACUAUCAACAAACUGAAGAAUAAUCACUGGUAUGCGAUCGGCUCUGUAGAUUUUCUGAAAUCUGACUUCUUUGUGGGGUGUUUUAGGCAGCCCACUACACGGAAGGCGGAGAGCCUGAAGUUGCUGACAACAUACUGCGCGCCGUGCCAGAGGAGAUGGACAGCAAAAAAAAACCAGUGCAUAAUGCUUUUCUGUUUUGAAGCAGGGCCGCUGCGCGCUGCCGUUCUCUGACCUUAGGGCUGUGACAUCGCCCCGCAGACG